CAAAGCUUUUAAAAUUUUAAUAUGUUGUUACUGACAACUAAAUGAAGGUCAAGUUCAAUAAUGGCGAUUUUGACUUUUACCGUUCAGGAGUUAUGGUUCUUGAAAGAUUGAAAAAUGGAGUUUCCAGUCGUGUCCGUGCAUUUACGCAUGAACUGUUCUACCUAAGCUUCCCAAAUUUUAAUAUGUUGUUACUGACAACUAAAUGAAGGUCAAGUUCAAUAAUGGCGAUUUUGACUUUUACCGUUCAGGAGUUAUGGUUUU
rnacentral:lncRNA from 1 species